AGAGUUGAUCCUGGCUCAGAACGAACGCUGGCGGCAUGCCUAACACAUGCAAGUCGAACGAGACCCCCGUCUUCGGAUGGCGGGUCUAGUGGCGCACGGGUGCGUAACGCGUGGGAAUCUGCCCUUCGGUUCGGAGUAACUCAGGGAAACUUGAGCUAAUACCGGAUAAUGUCUUCGGACCAAAGAUUUAUCGCCGAGGGAUGAGCCCGCGUAGGAUUAGCUUGUUGGUGAGGUAAAAGCUCACCAAGGCGACGAUCCUUAGCUGGUCUGAGAGGAUGAUCAGCCACACUGGGACUGAGACACGGCCCAGACUCCUACGGGAGGCAGCAGUGGGGAAUAUUGGACAAUGGGCGAAAGCCUGAUCCAGCAAUGCCGCGUGAGUGAUGAAGGCCUUAGGGUUGUAAAGCUCUUUUACCCGGGAUGAUAAUGACAGUACCGGGAGAAUAAGCCCCGGCUAACUCCGUGCCAGCAGCCGCGGUAAUACGGAGGGGGCUAGCGUUGUUCGGAAUUACUGGGCGUAAAGCGCACGUAGGCGGCUUGGUAAGUUAGAGGUGAAAGCACGGAGCUCAGCUUCGGAAUUGCCUUUANGACUGCAUCGCUUGAAUCAUGGAGAAGUGAGUGACAUUCGAGUGUGAGGUGAAAUCGUAGAUAUCGGAAGAACGGCANUGGCGAAGGCGACUCACUGGACAUGGUUUGACCCUGAGGUGCGAUAGCCUUGGGAGCAAACUGGAGUGCGAUUCCCUGGUAGUCUAGGGCAAAUUCAGGCCA
rnacentral:rRNA from 1 species